UGGUACAAGGAGAAUGAAGACUCACCAAAAGCAUCAGGACAGAUCUUCACCAUCACUGAUGUCAGACCUGAACACAGUGGAAAUUAUUACUGUGACACACAGAACAAAAGAGGACAUCGUAACUCCACCUUAUAUCUGACUGUUGUAGCAGGAGCAUGGAAAUCAGUUAUCAUUGGAACAACCACUGCUCUUCUUCUGGCUAUCAUACUACUCUUUGUCUUCCUAUUGAUAAAUAAAAAGAGGCCCUGUAAGCAAUUAUCGGAGCCCGGAGAGAGAGAUGAGAACAGAGAACAGCGCCCACCCACUGAGAGGCAGCCAGAGGAGCAGGAUGACAUUCACUAUGCCAGUGUCAAGUUCUCCAACAAUCAGGCAGAUCCUGUUUACUCCAACAUCAGACCAGCUCGACUCCAAAGACAUGAAGAAGAAGAAGAGGGUGUUGAGUACGCUGCUGUCAAAUUUAACAGUGCCCCAAGUACCAGAGGUCAGGAAACAGAGGAAGACCCGGCUGCACUGUACAGCACAGUCAACAAAACCUGAUGAACACAACAGGAAUCUCUAGUCUGCCCUUUUUUAAUUUUAAAGCAGGUAAUCAAUUGAUUUUUAGCUAUGCUAGUGGCAUAGCUUUGGAGAUGGCAAUGUCAGUCGGUUGGUCGGUUUGUUGGUCCUGUUGGAACAGCAACUUAUGGUCCCCACAGGAUGAAUCCCACUAACUUUGGUGAUCCCCUGACUUCAACUCUAGUUGACAUACUUGGUUUUUAGUAACAUGUCUUGACAACUGUUGGAUGGAUUGUCAUAACAUUUGGUAUAAAUAUCAGCAGAUUCCCAGGAUAUGGAUGAAUUCUAAUGACGUUGAUGAUUCCCUGACUUUUCAGUAUCAGCACUUCAGAGUUUUCACUCAUCUAGAGAAAUAUCUCAAUAUCUACAGGGUUGUUUCGCAUGAAAUUUGGUACAUACAUUUAUUUUUACCAGACAAUGAAUCCCAAUGACUUGCUUGACUUUUUCUUUAUCACCAUCAUGAAGUUGAUAAUUGUGGUUUUGAGUGAAAUGUCUCAACAACUACUGAAUGGAUUGCCAUGAAAUAACAUUCAUGGUCCUCUCAGAAAGAACUAUAUUGACUUUAAUGAUCCGAAAUGUUUUUCCCUAGCACCACGAUUAUGGGCUCAAAGUAGGGUCAAAUGUAUUGUAGCUGCGUAUCACCAUAUCUGAAUGUGUGCAAACUACUCCUGAUCAGCCAAUGGGGAUGCUUUGAAACGGGGAAAUAAGUCACAGAUUCAAUGGGGAAUGUAGGCUGAAGGCACUGAAAGCACACCCCAACCGAGCAGCUUCUGAUCCUCAGGCUUCAGCUUCAGCUCCAAUUGUUUGGAUGGGAAGUCCCGAGGCAGAGGGAGAGCAUUUGCUGGGCAGCACUUCACCAAAAAGCAUGGUGUGAGAGGCUUUUGCUCCAAAGAUGAUGGCCAAAAUGAAGCUGCAAAGGACUUUUCAGCAGAGAAGUGUGUUACAUUAAGUGCACCAAACUCCAUUGAAAAAUACAGCAAUUUAACAUAAUGAUGAUUGGUUAUGGAUCACUUGUUAACCAGUCACUUAAGUUACGUUUUUAGUGAAAUAAGUUCACAUUUAUCUACAAUCUAGGUGCCGAAUUAAAUAGUGACUUCUAACAAUACUUCAUCUUAUACAUAUCAUCCGUGUUGCUUGUCCUACAACUACAAACAAGGCCUAUUUUAAAUUGUUUAUUUUUAUAAGGGAUUUCAGCACAAGUGUUGUUAAUUUCAGAGGCCGUUCAAUUGGGGUGUGCUUUUAGUGGGCAUUCUCCCAGCAUUUCAGAGCAUCCCCACUGGCUAUUCAGGAGGAAGCGUCAAAUGUGGGGCAAAAGUAUUUGUAGGUUUGAUUUGUACUCAUAGAUUUGAUUUGUAGCUGUAAACUUGGGAUUCACACAUACAAUUGAGUUUUAUGUUAACUUUUUUCACCCACAAACAGAUAGAUGCGUAACUGCAAACCUUUUCUUCUUUAUGCACUCACACAUUUUUUUAUUUGUGCAAAUCUUUUUCAUUUUUUCACAAAAUGUCAUGCACCGCUACAGAUCUCCUUAGAGGUUCAAAAAUUAAAUCUAUUUGUUCAGGUAUUUUUACAGAUUCAAUCAUUUAAAUUCAUUUGUUCAAAACUUUUUUUACACAUUCACACAUUUGAAUGUAUUCAUACAAAAUUUUCAGCUCUUGUGAUACACAGCUACAGUACAUUUGACUCUAUUUUGAGCCCAUACACCAUCAGGUCAAAAUUUGAAUCUGUCCAAUACUUUGGUUUAUAACCAAAUACCUACAAAACUAACAAUAUUUCCAUCAGCCACAGUUGUACUUUACUAGGUUAGCGCUAAUUAGCAAUUCUUAGCAUGCUAACACUAAAAUAAUAUGGUGAACAUGGCAUACAUUACACCUGCUAAACAUCUGCAUGUUAGCAUUGUUAUUGUGAGCAUGUUGUCUUGCUGGCUUUAGUGUGCACGACACAAACAAAAUGAGGAUUGUAAAAACAUUGCUCCAUAAUGCUACUAGUGGUUGAAGACUCAACAGGGUACCUUUAACAUGGGUUUAAUGUAGACACACCAACAUGCGGCUUCAGACAUAUCUCUGCACUACUGUAUCAGAUGCUAAGUGGUAAGCUUGUAACUUUUAAAGAAAUUUAAAGAUAGAUUUUAAGAUAUAAAACAAUUUCCAAGGUCUGAGUAAUUUUUUUUCUCUUUUCUGUGUAUACACUAUGCUACCACAUUCUAUUUCCACACUUCUUUUUUUUUCUUUUUUUUUUUUUAACCAGUUUCACUUUCCGAAUUGGUUUUGUUUCCAGUUAUUUCUACUACAUUACCAUAACAAUUCUUAC